UAGGAAAUGACAAAAUAUGGAAAUACUCAAAGUCUAGUUGCAACAUUUAUAAGAUGGUGGCCGAUUAACAAGAUGUAUAAGUCAAGUGGCCAAUUUAGGAUAAGUAGAACUUGUAUUAGGACCCCAACUCCCCAUUCCCCCUUUUCAUUAUUCUUCAUCACAUUUGGGAGCUAGAGAAGGGAGACAUAACAAUUUCAAGGAUUUAACCUACUAAUAUUGGACGUAAAGAGUUUUAAGUAAAAUCAAAUCUUGAUUGGAAGUUUCCUAGUGUUGCAAGGUACAAUUCUUCUCAAAAACCAAUUUAUGCUUAAACUAGGGUUUGGGUAGGGAGAGAUAAUCCAAAUUUUGUUGGAUGACUUCAACUAGGGUUUGUUUUCUAAUCCAUUCUGCGAUAUUCUACACGGUCGUAGGCUCAAAACAUCAUUCCUAUUAAUGAACAUGAGUUUAAAUCCAACCAUGAACCCUACUGAUAGAGGUAAUUGAGUUCAUGAGCUAGUAAUUGAUUGAGAUCUAUGAUCAUAUGGUGAAUUUGAUGUAUUGAUCCCAAGGUAGAUGCCCAAACUCAUGAAAUUUGUGAAUUUGAUGUGUUGAUCCCAAGGUAGAUGCCCAAACUCAUGAAAUUUGAAGAUUUAGGGUUUUAAACAUGACAAAUGGUCAUUCCAAGGUUUGUAUUAUCGAACAAGGGUACAAGCAACCCUUAUGAGUAAAUCUAUGUCCAUGGAAUUUAUUUGGAUUCAUUAGGAAAUGGACAUGAUCUUAAAUGAAAAGGAAAAUCUAUGAAUCCAAAUUGAUUCAAUAUAAUAUUUUGGUGUUUGGUCAUUUUGGGAACUUUUGUUGAGCGAUGGUGGUUCCACCCGGCACCCUCAGAUCACGAAGGCCAACUUUCGUCCCUACUCUACAGGUGGAUCUUAAAAUCAAGCUCCCUUUUGCCUUUGCACUCAAGGGAAAAUUUUCGUCGGGCCGAGGAAACCUUUGCACGCCUUAGUUACUUUUGGAGAGGCCUACACCCCAUAGAAACUGUCUACCUUAGACAGUCCAUUGGCCCGAUCGUCUAGACACAAGGUUAAAAUUCUAGGUCUUCCGGAUAAAGAAAGAGAAUUAGUAAAAAAUGACAAUUCAAAUCAAGAUUUCUUUGGUACCCUAUAUAAAAAUAGAUUUGAAAUACACUAAAGAAAUGUUAUAUCGGCCUAUUUGUUUUCUUGUAGUUGGAUCUCCAACUUUUUGGAACGCUCCAAAUUCUACUUCGCAUCCAAAUAUGAAAUCGAAAUUGAGGACUUCAUAGUUGAAAUGAAGGACCUACAACCAUAUGGGAUAGAUUACAAGCAUAAAUUAUGUAUCACAGCUAGUUAACAUAUCGAUUCAUACAUGAUGGAUGUCAUUACUUUUGGUCAAUCAUGGAUAUUUGUGCAAAAAGGCUCCAUAACCCCUCUAGAUAGAGCCUUGGGUAAUAUCAACAUUUGGAAAUGUAUUAAUUUGGGUUCAAUGAUUAACCGGGGAAAUGAUGAAGUGCUUAAUACAUGUUAGACAUGAUAUUAGUCCCAAAAAUUUAGUACAACUUUUUGAACAAAGGACCAAAAGUAACUAGGUGAAAGUACAAUGGAAUAAUGAAGUCAUUUGCAUGUUUGAGUUGUGUGCAAGAUGCACACAGAAUGUGUGAAUCUGAAGCCUAAAUUCACAUGGCUCGUGUAUUAGACUUAGGGGUGAGCAACAGAACAGGUGAGCAACAGAACAGGUACCCGCUAUCGCAACCGAAAUCGCCUCUCCGGUUCCUAAAGUUUUCGAACCACCUUAAGCGGUUCAAUUUCGGUUCUCAUUUUUUCAGAACCACUACCCGUUGGGCACUCGCGGGACCGGUAUGUGUGUGUGUGUGUGUAUAUAUAUAUAUACAUACACACACGUUAUUUUGAUAUUGAGACAUGUUGAUAAUCAUUUUCCUUUGCCUUUUAAUUGAAUAACAAGUAAUUUACGUUUUAUUAGAUACGAAGUUCGCAAAUUUUGUUUUUAAGCAGAUAAUUAGGAAAAAGAUAUAUAAUAGGCUAUAUAUACAUAUAAAAAACAUAUGAUAGGUAUAUUGUUAUAUUGUUGUGUAGGUGAAUAAGUAGCAAACUUCUUUUGUUUGUAAUUACCGUUCCAAGUUGCUUGAUAUACAAAAAGUUUGUGAGUUCUCAUAUCAACAAAGAUGGUGUGCGUCCCACAUCGUCCGGUGGUAAGAACACCGGUGGCUUUCUUACUUUAUAAAAUAAGAGGAAGCUUGCUUGUUUCUUACAAGUUUCACAAAUGGCCCAAUAUCAGGUGGGUUGCUUUGAAAAGGCUUUAUGUCGAGUUUAAAGAGUUUAUUCUAAAACUUGUUUUGUAAACAAUUUGAACUAAACCUGUUAAAUGAUGAUUUGUUGCUUGAACUGUUAUGAGAUUGAGAUUGAUUGAGUAUUGAUUUUCACUAGUUACUAGAAUUUUUAAACUGGAUACCCGAUAGCGGAACCGGUACUGGCGGUUUUAAGACCGCUUUCAAAAUUCAACGAACCAGUGUAAUUGGUUUCGGUUCCAACACUUCAAGAACUGCCGGUUCCGAUAUCGGUUCCAAAUCCAUGUAAUUAGUCUUUAUACAAUGAAUAUAUGUUAGGAAAAAAGGUUAUUUGACGUAGGUUAUGAGAUGAUCAGUAACGGAAUUUUGGUCUUUUAGUAAUCCAUGUUUGAAAUCCAUAUGUGUUGACUACUUGACUAAAGGGCAUUCAUCUUGGAAGGUGUUGUUACGUUGCUAAGAUAUCAAGGUGAGUUUGUCGAGAGCACAAGUCCUCAUAUUAUUCACACCUGAUGUUUGAUUUUCCGUUUGAAGUAUGCUUUGUCUCUCUCUCUCUCUCUCUCUCUCUCUCUCUCUCUCUCUCUCUNNNNNNNNNNNNNNNNNNNNNNNNNNNNNNNNNNNNNNNNNNNNNNNNNNNNNNNNNNNNNNAAAUCGGAAAUGGAUUUCAUUGAUAAUGCGUAUUGUUUACUUAUUUGCUAUGUGUGUACCAAUAAUCAUUUUUUUAUGUUUCUUGCUUCUAUAAACUAUAUACAUAAUUUUGAAAUGAUUUUGAACAUCUUACUUGUUGUGUACAUGCUGGGAUGGGUGGACUAAGAGAUCUUGGGUACCCAUAUUGAUAGUAAGUCAUGUUAGCCGUUGUGAGUAGAUUUCUAGAUAAUCUUCAUUUGCACAAGUAUGGAUCACAACCCUUUGUUUGACCUAGUGGGAUGUUUCACUAGUGCCUAGUAUCAUGAGCAAAAAGGGAGGGUUACUUAUGAGCUCUAUUAUUAACCAUCAGUUUUGGUAAGUUUGGACUUUAUGAGAAUGGAAAGGAAUGGUUGCAUGCAUUGCAUAUUAUAUUGUGUUUUAUUUCGCAUUUACCCUUUUGGAGGUUUGAUAUGAGUUUGUAAAUAUUUGCUAACCAAUGUUUAGCCUUUUAGAUAUGUUUGGAUCUAUGAGUUAUAUAAUACCCUUAUGUUUUGGUUUGGGUACUUCGAACCUUAAUUUAAUUUGUUUAGGAUACUUUUAAAUAUCCUUUGUUUUGGAUUAUGGAAUAAAAUUUUCUUGUUAUAGUCUAUCGUUAGUAAGCCAUUGACAUCGGAUUUGGUUAUUACUUUUUAUGGAUAAGAUUUUUGAAUUUUUAAACUCUUGAUUUUGAUUUAUGGAUUUUAUAUCUUUCGAAUCGAAUACAGGUAAAUCUACCCUUUCCCUUGGUUAUUUGAGUCGUAUUUCUCUAUCCUUUGGUUUAUUGAUACUUAUGGAAUUUAAUGAUUUUAUAUUAAAUUUAAAGGUUUGAUUCGAAUAAGUUAGGUAGCUAUCUUGUUACUCAAAAUCAAAUAUAGGUAAAUCUACCCAAGUAUAGAACUCACUCCCAAAAGCUUGUUUGUAGGAGGGACACCUGGACUUAUAAGCUACCCACUUAAUUUAAUUUCGACCAAUGUGGAAUCAUAACAAUACCCCACUCUUUGAAGAGUCAACGUCCAUGGCUACGUUGGAAACGGUUGGCACCCUUUUUCGGGCCCAAACCACUAUUUUGUAGGCCACCACUGCACAUGUUGGAACCAUCAAUAGAUGGAGAACUUAAGUGUAGAACUUAAGUUCAUAUCCAUUAUGAUCAUUCUAAAGUUUGUUACCUAAAUUAGACUUUUAGUUAAAACUUCGUAUAGUGGUUAUUUUUUAUUUCCAGUCUUGUUGAGUUCAAUAACAAUUAUGUUUUGUUAUUCAAUCUUCUGUACAUUUUAUGUGUUUUGGUGUUUUUAUCAUAUUUACAUUGUUGAUUUCCACUUGUUGCAGUUAACUCCUCUUAGUUUUGAAGUUGGAGAUUGUUAUUUGAAUUCGCAACAGAAAGUGUAUGUUGCUCAUAUUGUUUCCAUUGGCUUCAUUAUCUUCAUCCACAUCAUCUUUGAUCUUUUUUGUUCUUUUGGGAAAGGAACUUUAGUAUUAUUAUUGAUUUUCUUUGAGCAAAUUGACUUGGAUUUGUACAAAGAAAAUACUAUGAAACGGGCUAAUGAAUAUGUUUUAAACAAACAUUCGGAUGAUGGCAAAAAUAAAUCAGAGUACCUUUCACCAAACGAGGGAAGAGAAGAAACAUAU
rnacentral:lncRNA from 1 species